rnacentral:rRNA from 1 species
AUGACGCUCCUAAGCUAGAACUGCCUUGGCCUUGGGCAGCCUUGGAUAGUUCAAGAGCUAGUAUGCCUUGUGCAUACGUACAAGCCCAAGCUCGUCUUCCUCUCAGAAACUCGGCAAGGUAAUAAGUACGUUAAUAACCUCAAGUGGAGGCUUGGUCUCCAUCACUGUAUUGCACAACCCGGCAUUGGAAAAGGUGUUGCUAUUGCCCUCUUUUAAGAUGAGUCUGUGGAAAUAAAGAAAAUUGUCGUGGGGCGAGGUAUAUCAAUGUGUUGA